rnacentral:rRNA from 1 species
UACGUAGGUGACCAGCGUUGUCCGGAUUUACUGGGCGUAAAGAGCGCGCAGGCGGUCGUUCAAGUCGAGUGUGAAAGCCCCCCGGCUCAACUGGGGAGGGUCAUUCGAUACUGAUCGACUCGAAGGCAGGAGAGGGAAGUGGAAUUCCCGGUGUAGUGGUGAAAUGCGUAGAUAUCGGGAGGAACACCAGUGGCGAAGGCGACUCCUGGCCUGUUCUUGACGCUGAGGCGCGAAAGCUAGGGGAGCAAACGGGG